AAAAAAAAAAAAAAAAAAAAAGGCAGCAACUUCUCUCUGGGAAAGGCAGGUCUUGUGACAGGCAAACGAGAGAUGGCAGAAUCUCACAGCGGCAUUUAUAGCUUCUGCUUAGAAAUGGCAUGAUUUCCAUUCACAUGUCAUUGACCAAAGCAAGUCAUGUCCAAACUAAUAUCAAUGCAAAGCAUAAUCCCAUAAGUACACAUCUGAUAUGGAGGGGCAGUGAAAAUGUCAACAAUAAUAUAAUCUAUGAGAGGAUAUAGAAGCAUAACCAAUAAAUGUUAGUGUCCUUCACUUUCCUCUUUUCCCUUAUUGGUUCCCCCUGAGAAACACAAGUGUACAGCAUAGAGAGGCUGUGUGAUGUCAUAAUUAAGAGUGUAGGUUCUGAGAACAGACUACCUGAGUUCAAAUCCUACCUCUGCCAUUUUCCAGCUGUGUGGCUCCGGACAAGUUAUUUAACCUCUCUAUGCCUCAGCUUCUUCGUGUGAAAUGGCAGUUAUAAUAAUACCAGUGCCACAGAGCUGAGGAUGAAAAGAGUCCAUUCCGGUCUGGCGUCUUUAACCAGGAAGAUGUGAGCUGAGAGGCUGUGGAGUAGCUGUCUUCACCAGAUGGGUACAGAGAGAGGUAGAGAAUGUGUGUCUGCAGAGUAGGAUGAAGCAGAGACAAGGUGGGAUGGGAGAGAGCCAGGGGCUGGAGGACAACCCUACCACCAAUACCCCCAACAGUUGCCAUCCUAUCCCACUUUUUUAUUCACUUGGUAACACUAAUUACUCUCUAAAAAUA